AUUGAACGCUGGCGGAAUGCUUUACACAUGCAAGUCGAACGGUAGCACGGACUUCGGUCUGGUGGCGAGUGGCGAACGGGUGAGUAAUGUAUCGGAACGUGCCCAGUCGUGGGGGAUAACGUAGUGAAAAUUACGCUAAUACCGCAUACGAUCUAUGGAUGAAAGCGGGGGAUCGCAAGACCUCGCGCGAUUGGAGCGGCCGAUAUCAGAUUAGGUAGUUGGUGGGGUAAAGGCCCACCAAGCCAACGAUCUGUAGCUGGUCUGAGAGGACGACCAGCCACACUGGAACUGAGACACGGUCCAGACUCCUACGGGAGGCAGCAGUGGGGAAUUUUGGGCAAUGGGCGAAAGCCUGAUCCAGCCAUUCCGCGUGCAGGAUGAAGGCCCUCGGGUUGUAAACUGCUUUUGUACAGAACGAAAAGGUUUCUACUAAUACUAGGAGCUCAUGACGGUACUGUAAGAAUAAGCACCGGCUAACUACGUGCCAGCAGCCGCCGUAA
rnacentral:rRNA from 1 species